rnacentral:lncRNA from 1 species
CGCGACUGAAACUUUGAGGUUAGUUAGGCGGUGAUUGUCGAUUUGACGUUGUUCCGCGUACAUUUCAAACUUGAAUUAAGGUUAAUUUGAAGGGUUUUUAUAAUGUAUUUUAUUAGAAAAUAUCGGUUGACAGGUGCAGUUUGAUGUUUUGCCCCUAACCUUGAAUACGUCCAAUGAGAGAGUGCGCCAGUGUCUUUCGGCCAAUAGAAAUCGCCAAAGCGCCAGGGUCAACAAAUCCUUGUGAAAUAGCAGAGUUUUCGGCGGCCAUGUUGAAAACAACCUUUACUUGGACGUGUGUGAUUUUUUAAACGAUUUUCGCUCCAUUUUCCACGGAUUUUCACCCUUUUCUUCGUUAUGGGCACGGUGCGGUGAGUUCUUGUACGACGGUUCGCGUUUUAAGUGCCACCGUACGUUCUGCUCGAGUGACACUUGGCGUGUUUUGAUAAAUGUGAGACCUUGAAUUGUGUUUGGCUGGACGGAAGAUAAUUUUCGGCAGUUUCGGAUACAUCUCAUUAUGAAUUAUAUUAUUUCAGAUAUCACUUCCUGUAUACGUAAAAGCCCAUCUCAUCGAAUAUCAAAUGCCGAACGUCUCCUUUCUAUACCAUAUACAGGUGAGUACUCUACCGAUAUUUUCGUUCUGGGGGAAGAUGUUACGGUAAGAUAUGUUUGAGGAAUUAUGGUUUUACAUUAAACGUUGCGUUCUGUUGGAAACGUUCCUGCGAGUCUCUUCGUUUUUGCGACGGCGGCGCUACCUGACGGUUUCUUAGGAUCUUACCGAAAGCUACGGGGACCGGUUUCGCUCGCUGAACGCGCACCUAUUUAUAGAUCCUUAAUCGGCUCUCAUAUGGGAGCUUAAAUACCUUCCGAUUAUUAAUACUGUCCAAGUUGGACGCUUAAAUUACUUUUAUAUUUUUUGUUUUAUGUUUUUGCAAUUCUUUCGACUUUUGUUAAUGUUUAAACUUAAAGCGAAUGUAUUCAUGAUACACGA